CAACUACUCCCUCUGUCCCAAAUUUCUUGUCUUAGAUUUGUCUUGAUACGGAUGUAUCUAAUACUAAAAUGUGACUUGAUACAUCCGUAUCUAGACAAAUCUAAGACAAGAAUUUUGGGACGGAGGGAGUACUUU
rfam:Triticum aestivum genome assembly, contig: Triticum_aestivum_CS42_TGACv1_scaffold_667584_T_4AL-0.028175_5DL-0.016344